rnacentral:lncRNA from 1 species
CAAGCUCAAGGACUGACAGGAAGAUAUCACAACACAACUUUACAUACAAAUAAAACAUACAAGCUUCAUAUUACAAGCCAGGGGCCUCGAGGGCUAGAAUACAGAAGAUCGAUAAACACACGAGUCAGCAGAAGCAAGAAAUAUCUGAGUACACACAUAAAACAGGAGGCGCCUUAGAGAAGGCUAGCCCAAAAGAUACAACGAUCGAAUUAGGCGAGGCCUCCUGCCUGGGAGCCUCCUAACUACUCCUGGUCUUCAGCGGCCUCCACGUAGUAGUAGGCACCGUCAGGGUAGUAGUCAUCGACGGCGGGAUACGCCAUCUCCAGGGCUCCAUCAUCUAGUUGCACCAACGGAUCAAGGGGAAAAGGGGGUCCAAAGCAACGGUUAGUACUCAUCCAAAGUUCUCGCAGUACUGACAUAAGAACUAUGCUAAGUAUGGAUCAACAUCAAAGGAAGGGGAAUAUAUGUGGACUAACUACAGCAAUGCAAGAAUAGUGAGUGAAGGCCUAGUCCUAUCAAAGACUAGCAUCUUUAGGGGUCUUGCAGCAAUAGACGAGAGUAGAACAGGUAGCACAAUUAAUAGUCAUAUUGUUGCAGCAAUAUUAAUUAAAGUCACGCCCAGAGAUCCUUCCUCGACUCCCUACGAGGAAGAAAUCCUGGAGCAACAUUCCAGUUAAGUAACAGUUGUAGUUGUACAAGAUCGGGGCACAACUCCAAGUUGUCCUGUAACCGUGGACACGGCUAUCCAAAUAGUUAAUUUUCAUCCCUGUAGUAGUGCACCAAGUUUCCCGUCACGCUCGAUAAACUCUUGCCGGACACACUUUCCUCGGUAAUACCCUGCCUCAGAACAUCGACACGUCGCAACCCCACCUAGACUCAUCAGAGAGGCCAGCCCGUCGGUCUUAAUCCUAAGCGUGAAGGGUUCAUGGGCCCAUCACCCAUUGCGCUCCUGCACAUUGCGUGGGCGGCCGAUGUCAGUCCUCGCACCUAUUAUACAAGAACAGUGAUAAUCCAGACCACUCGAGCGCGCGCCGCUACAUUGCUGAUGUUUGAAGAGCUUCGGCUGAUACCACGACGUCGAGUACCCAUAACUUCUCCCGCGUAGUCGGUUAGUGCGAAAAGGUCUCCGACCAACCCAGAUAAAAUACCCAAAUCCAUUAACAUUUUAAUUAACUCAUCGACACAUCCAUGUAGGAAUCCACCCGCCUAACAUUUAUUCGUCAAUGUUCCGAGUAACAUGGUCAAGUAACUGUGUGGUUGUAAUAUCAAGGGGAUCCGAGGUAUCACCCUCGUUGGAUUCCGAAUGAUGUAAUCGUCAAGGUGGACUUAGAGGAAGCACCCUCGAGGGUGUCACACUUGAGGGGUUGCACGAUAGAGUCAUCCUCGGGAAUGGUGAAGGAGGAAUCACCCUCGAUAACCAUGACCGACUAGCUGCACUCUAGAGAUAACAUCAUGAGUAAUUCGCGAGGUGUCACCCUUGGUACCCCAUAGUAGUUGUACAUCGUCGUAUAACUAAGGGGGGGGGGUGACUGCUGUGUCUGGUCUUGGCUCGUCGAUCAGUGAUCGAGACUUGACGAUAAAGCGGGGGUAACUCAACUAAGGGGGCAAAGGGGAUGACUGCUCCACCUAUACUAAACAGUUUUGAUUGUGGUAUAGUAAAGUAGAAGUUCACGAAAAAACAGGCUCUGUAUCAAAAUAGGAUCUAUCUACAACAGUAGAAAAAUUCUAAUGCAAGCAUGAGGGAGAAAGAAUAGGCGAUAUAGGGAUGAUCAUGGAGGGUUUUCUUGCCUUUUCGCUCUGCGGCAAAUGGCUGAUGGUCAGGAGGAUAGUCGUACCCGACAGCAGCGUCAGUCUUGGGGUCUACCGGUAUGAAGAGGGGGGAAGAAACAAUAAAUAUAAACACAGAUGCAAUCACUAAGCAUGACAUGUCAAUAUGCAGGUCUAGGCAUGAGCUAACGCAGUAACAUCCCUCAUAGACGGAUCGGGAAAAUAUCGGAUGAUAUUUCCCGGGUCUCUGGCAACUGCCGGUCACGCGAAACGGAUGAACAAGUUCCAUGUUCGCUAUACUAGGGCCGCGUGACCGACGAACGGAUAGCGUAUCCGGGUUCGUCUUGUUCUGCUGAUCAACUUUAAUGUUUAAAAUAUUUUCAUGUGACUUAUGGUUUAAUUAAUACUAAUUUUUAAAUUUUAUUCAAUAUGCAGAAAUUAAAACAGAUUUAACUUAAUUCAAAAAUUGUAUUUAUGACAUCAUCAUGACAUCAACAGUCAACAGGAUGUGUUGAAUCGUCAAACCGACUCGUGGGGCCGUGCUAUCAUAGACUCAGGGUUAACCAACUUUUAAUUUAAUCUAACCACAAACUAAUUAGCAAGUGGGGGUCCAUGUGUCGUAGACACAUUAGUCUAACUUAUUACGUUUUAACUUAAACAAUUUACUAAAUAAGUAACUCACACGGGUGGCCCACUGUCAUACUCAUUGGGGGUAUAGGACCCACCUGUCAUUGUGUGCUUAGGAUAAAUUAAUUAACAGAAUUAAUUAACAGUCCUAAUUAAUUAACAAAGUGGUUAAUUAAUAUAAUUAACCUUAAUUAAAUUAAUUAACUAAUUCCUUAACUACUUAAUUAAACUAAUUAUCUAAUCAAUUCAUUUACUAAUUAAAUUAUUUUUAUUGCAUAUAUAUAUAUAUUUUUAAACGUUUUAGGGGGGCAGUGGCCCCGAUGUCAUUCUCACGGGGGGAAAAUGGCCCCCAAAUUAACUACAACCGGGGGGCUAUUCCCCUAAACCUAAAGUGGUGGCCAUUGCCAGGACUGGCUCUGGCCGGAGCUACCCGACCCUGACCGUGGACGGAGCAGGGAGGUGGCUGGCCGGAGCGCGCGGGGGAGGCCGCUGGCGGCAGGGCCACGAGAUGGGGCUGCUAGAGCAGGGCGGUGGCUGGCCAAGGCGAAGCGGUUGCAAGUGCGCGAGCAGCUGCGGGGGAGCAACCAGGGGUGCAGGGUGGCGCGUCAGCUUGCAGCAGCACCAGGGGCGCGACCACGCUCGCCCACAUGCGCGAGGGGGGAAAUGUAGCUGGCAUGGGCUAGAGGGGAAAACGGCGGCUGGAGGCGCAUGGAGCCGUGGUGGUGCUCGGGCCUGGGUCGCCGGAGUGGUGGCCGAAGUGGAGGGAGAGGAGGGUGGCUGAUGGUGGACGGAGCCCGGAGGCUCACCACCUUUGUAGAUGAAGACGCAGCUCGAUGUGGAGGUCUAUGGAGGACCGACGUGGUGCAGGAGGGCGGAUCCGGCGCCGUAGUGAGCAGUGUUGGUGACGAAGAGGAGGCGGCUGGCAGAGAGGACGGCCGGCGGGGCAGCGUGAGGCUUCGGCUUCCCCAGCCCCGAUCCACUCUGGAUCGGGAGGGAGAGGGAGAUGGAGAGGAACGUGGGGGGUGGGUUGGUGGUUNNNNNNNNNNNNNNNNNNNNNNNNNNNNNNNNNNNNNNNNNNNNNNNNNNNNNNNNNNNNNNNNNNNNNNNNNNNNNNNNNNNNNNNNNNNNNNNNNNNNNNNNNNNNNNNNNNNNNNNNNNNNNNNNNNNNNNNNNNNNNNAAGCUGGGGGUUAGGGUUUGCAAUGGGUGGUUUUAUACCCCCUGGGUGGGGUGGUCCGGUUGGUGGUUGGGCUGGCUGGGCCAGCCCAACCGGGGGGAAGUUUGCUUUGUUUCUCUUUCUUUUCUUUUUAUUUUAUUUGAUUUAUUUUCAGUUUCUAUUUUAGUUUGAUUUUAAUUUAAUGGAUUUAAACACUUCUAAAAAUGUUGAUUUAUCCACCAAAAUUAACUAUGCAUUAUUUGCCAUAAUAGGAACAUUUUAGAUUCGAUAUUUGAAAACUUUUAUUAUUUUACUUUAUUUUAAAUUUGAAUUUGAAUCAGUUUUGAAAUAAUGAGAGAUUAACAACAUUAAUUGUGGUGACGUGGCAUCAUUAGCAUAGGAUUACCGUAGCUUAAUUAUAGAGAUCACUGUUGCAAAAGCUCAGGAUGUCACAGCUGCGUCCGAGGAGACUUUUGCCCCAAAGGCUUCAUACGGUUGGGGUACCUGGACGGAUCGGACCGAGGAGUCGGGUGGGCAUGCUGAUGGUGGCGGGGAUGAGUGUACUGAUACUAAGGGCAAGGUGGUUGAGAGGGUCGCCGUGUACCAGCUUGGUAGUACACAUAUCCUGGCCGAGCGGGCGACCCGCGAGUAGAGGCUGGUGAUUAGGCGUGAAGAGGAGAAGUAAGUGCUUUUACUCUUUUUGUACCUUUUGCCUUCAAUUUUCUACAAAUAUCUAAUGCGUUGACCUUGUCAUACUGCAGGGGUUGGGAUCACCCCCUUGGAGUCCGCAAGCCGAACACCUUCCUGGGUGUGCUUUGCCCGCAAAAUUUCCCUGGGUUUGUCACGUUGCCCGGUGAGGGUGACGUUCCUACACUAGGGUUUAGCUGGGAGCACUACAAGGCUACCCAGGAAGGACAAGUCGGANNNNNNNNNNNNNNNNNNNNNNNNNNNNNNNNNNNNNNNNNNNNNNNNNNNNNNNNNNNNNNNNNNNNNNNNNNNNNNNNNNNNNNNNNNNNNNNNNNNNNNNNNNNNNNNNNNNNNNNNNNNNNNNNNNNNNNNNNNNNNNNNNNNNNNNNNNNNNNNNAGUACAUGAAGGUAAUUAGGAAGGACAAGUCGGAGUGCCGGAGAAAGUUUCUGAAGAAGGAGCAGUACAUGAAGGUAAUUACCUAUUCUUAGGGCCUUGUACUUAGUUUUCUUGAUUUGAUUCAUAGGCGUAGCGCUCAAAUUUCUCUUUACUAACUUAUAGGUUCCCCUGAUGGAGUGUGGAUAAGAUGGAUUGCUGGGAGCCAUUGGUGGAUGAGUGGUGCACAGGCCAAUGGCGAGCCAUCCACGACAAUGUGAAGGACUGGCGUGCCAAAAUGGUUGAUGUGACACACCAUCAACGUAGCGCCAACUUAUUUCAGUUUAGAGAAAACUAGGUAUGUGGUUUCCUUCAUGAUUCAUGCAAUUCAUUCUUCAUGCUAGCUCGAGCCCUUUACUAAUACUUUGUUAUCUCUUUUAGGCGCAUGACAAUAACACGGAAGUGCCAGAGGUGUACGACCUCUAUGGCAUGGCCCAUACUACCUCCUACAAGAAGGUCAAGGAAUUCUCUGAGUCCGACCUCGAUCAUCCAGAGAAGUUCACCAACAUCUCCUCCCACAACAAGCUCGUGAGAUACAAGGAGGAGGGGAAGGCGAGGAAGGGGAGGACUUUAACCCGAGCCAGGAACCUUGGGAUCCAGAGCCGGUGACGAUAUUUGGUGGUGGGAAGCCCCAUAGCGUGAUAUUCGUUGGAGAUUGGCCGAUCCGUUGUCCCUCAUGAUCCCGGAGAUCAAGGAACGCCAGACGAGCUCCUGUCCUCAGAUGAGGCCUCGUCCAUGGCCAGUCGAUCUCGCCAACGAGUUUAGUUAUACUGACUCAGAAAACUUUCGUCCAUUACAUUUUGUGUGUGAACAUCGAUGAUUAUUACGCUAAUGAGGAGUGGUGUUGCAGGAUACUCUUCACAGAGAGAUAGAUAGAUAGAGAGAGAGAGAGAGCGACAACCCAGCCUACUAUUUUGGAGUAUCUACAUGAGAGGGACUGGGUGGCGGCGGAGAGGGACCGAGUGGAGACGGAGACGGCUCGGGCCGCGGAGGAGAAGAUGGCUCAGAUGUUGGACGAGGAGAGGGCACAGAAUGAGGCGACUCACCAGGCCAUGUACGAGAUCCUUGUGUUAAGUUGCUUUUUCACAUUAGCCAAAUCAUGCAUGUAAUGUUUGUUCAUUACUAACUAAUAUGACUGACUCUUCAAAACCAAAUAUGCAGUCUAUGUGCGAGAAGACAAGUAAGACCGGCGAGACAUUUCUGUGGUUGGAAUAGUGAGUUUCAUUUGAAUGGUCAUUAGUUACCAAUAUUGACAUUUGAGUGUCAUCAUACUAACAAGACAUUGCAAAAUAUCUUUGGUGUAGAAUAAUUCCCAAGCCGCAUCGCACAACCCUUCUCCACGGCAACAUUCUCCAGGUGAACCCACCUCGAUCAACCCCGGUGAUUCACAUCCUUGAUGACAACGAUGGUACAUUUUCUCUAGUGUUCUGCUUAACACAUGCAUAAUUAGCUUCGUACAUUCUAGUUAGCCCUAUUUUGCAUCAUACUUAUCUUAUUUUCCCCAAGAAAGGCAUACUUAGCUAAUUAUCCUCCAAAAUGACAAACUAGUUUAUUUAGGCCAUUUAUGACAUAAUUAGCCUAGUUAGGUCAAAAAUAGCAUCAAACCUUGGUUAGCUCAUAAAUGCCAUAUACCUAGCUUAUGUUCCUCCUGAAUGACAUAAUGAGCUCAAAAUAAGACAAGUCUUGUAAUCAUCUUCUCCUUCAUCUUCUCCUUCAUCUUCUCCUUCUUCUUCUUGUCCUUCUUCUUCUUCUUCUUCUUCUUCUUCUUCUACUUCUUCUUCUCAUUCUCCUUCUUCUUCUUGUUCUCCUCCUCCUUCUUCUCCUCCUCCUCCUUUUUAUUCUUCUCCUUCUCCUUCUCCUUCUUCUUCUUUUUCUUCUUCUUCAUCUCCUUCGUCUUCUCCUUCUCCUUCUUCUUCUUCUUCUUCUCCUCCUCCUUCUUUUUAUCCUUCCCCUCCUUUUUAUUCUUCUUCUUCUCCUUCUUCCUUUUCUCCUUCUUCUUCUUCUUCUUCUUCUUCUUCUUCUUUUUCACCGUCUUCUUCUCCUUCUUCUUCUUCUUCUUCUCCUUCUUCUUCUUCUUCUUCUUCUUAGCUAGUAUACUCCAAAAUGACAUAAUUAGCUUAUUUAGUUCAUUUAUGACAUAAUUAGCCUAUUUAGUUCAUUUAUGACAUAGUUACCUUAGUCAGGUGAAAAAUAGCAUAAGAACCUUGGUUACCUCACAAAUGUCAUAUACUUAGCUUAUGUUCCUCCAAAAUGACAUAAUAAGCUCAAAAAUGGCAUAAAAUGAAAAAUAAAGAAUAAAAGAGGAAAGAGGAGAAAAAGAAAGAAUAUAAGAACAAGAAUGAGCUUCUUCCUUCUUUGUUCCUAUUAUUUUCCUUCUUUUUCUACUUCUUCUUCCUCUUCUUCUUCUAGUCUUCUUCUUCUUCUUCUUCUUCUUCUUCUUCUCCUAACUUUCUUAUUCCCAUUUUGUAGAUUUGGUUCACUUCAUAGAAGGUGGCAUUGAUGGGCAGCUAUUGUUUUAUUUUUGUUUCAAUUUUUAUGGAUGAACAGUGUGAUGUUUCAAACUAUGUGUAUAUAUGGAUGAACUAUGGGAAAACAUUUGUUGUCUUGCUCAAUAUUUUCACGAUGAUGUUGGAAACAUGGCCUAUGCUUCUUCUGUGAUGUCUGAAUCUACAUGUGAUGUUUGCAAUUAUAUACUCCCUCCGUCCCAAAAUAAUUAUCUCAACUUUGUACUAGCUCUAGUAGAAAAUUAUACUAAGCUUGAGACACUUAUUUUGGGAUGGAGGGAGUAUAUCAUAGAAGUAAUCUGAAAAUGCAGGGAAAUAACUGAAAAUAAACCAAAAGUGACAAUACAGACAUUUUGUCGUGUGCCAGCGGACGGCAAAGGCCUUUGCCGUCUUCUAGCUGAUGGCAAAGGUGCCACGUGGCACACACCUGUGCAACCUCAGGGUAGCAUAGCUGACCUAUAUGGUCACUUUUCCAUCAGCAGGUGAUCCUGGCUGACUGCAAAGGCCCCCAAGGCAGACGACAAAGGGCCUAGGCGGCAAAGCCCCCCCAUCAACAUACGGCAAAGGCCGCCCCCCUAAGGCCGAUGACAAAGACCCCACCGGUAGACAACAAAGACCUGCCCGAGGCAGACCGCAAAGCCCCUCGCAAGGAAGAUGGCAAAGAACCCCCACCGGUAGACAACAAAGACUCCCAACAGACGACAAAUGCUCCGUUAGCUAUCUAACACAGUAGGUUCCUAUUGGCUGCCGUCUAGCUCCUUUUGCCGUUUGCUGGUCAUGACACACAUAUGGCAAGGUUCUUUGUCGUCCGCUAAAAGCCGACACAUGGCAAAGAAGGUAUUUCCCAACGCUAGCUAUGGCAAAAAACUUGUCGUACGCCGGUGGGUGGCAAAGGUCUUUGUCGUUCGUGGAAUGGUCCUUUACCGUCCGCUAUGGAAGAUAGCAAAGAAGUUGAUUCCUGUAGAGACAAGUAUACUCCUUUAUUGGAUCAUCAUAUUACCAUCGUGCUCAAUGGAAUCAAGUCAGCUUAUCUCGGGGCUACUGGUUCCCAGAUUGUUUGGCAGUAAUGGCAUUGUCUUCUACAAUCUUAUGCUCGGCUUUUCUAUUGAUCAUAGGUCACUUGGGGGCUUCCAACUAAUCAAGUUUAGCUUUCUCACCCUCUUGAUCUGGCAAAGAUGCCAGAAAAUUGUUAAACCUGCCUGUAUGUUUGAUGCCACUCCGAUCAAGUGACUCCAUGUACUCUUGACUAUUAAAUGCAUUAUGGACCCUGAAUCAACAAGGUUAAAACAUUGGUUUGUCACAUUAGAGUCGGCAUACUAAAAUCAAGGAUAAACCAUGGGUUAUCAUACCCGCUUCAGUGAAGCAGGACUUGCCACGAAAGUCAGUCUAUUUUUACCGUGUCUCACGGAGUCGGAUUGUUAUUGCUUUAUAUUAUCAUCACUUGAUCUUUUCAGGUACAAGUACUAUUUUUACCAGCUCAUCGUGAAUGACCGGGUCAUAAAGGCUGCAGUCAUAUCAUGACCAGUUCAAUCACACAUCAUCCUCCAUUGCAUCAUGCAUUAUACAUACAUAUCAUGCCGGUCUUCAAACCGGGUUACAAUAUAAACUUUUCCAGGAGCAAAUAAGUCUUUUGGAGCCCAAACGGGCCGGAUUUUCAGCAUUGUUUAUCAUAACUAGAGUUAAAUGAUUGGGUUUUUUCAAUUCUGUCACACCCUGUUUUCACCUCACUUUCACUUUAGUUCAAAAAUCUGAGUUUAUUUUUUUUUCAAAAACCAAUGCAUUGAGUGCCAUGAUUUUCAUUGUAUGCUUGUAUGCUUGAUUGAGUGGUAUCAAAAACCAUAUUUUUCAUCAUAUAAAUAUUUCCAAGAAUCCUUUUUCUUAUUUCUGACUAUUUCAAAGCCUGCUUUGGGUUGCACUGCAAGUCCUUGGUAGCAAGGGAGUGCUUUCACCCAAAGAUGGUGAUAUGGUUAUAAAACUAUUUUUACUCUUCAAAACCAUAAAAUAAUAUUUUUAUAAAUUAUUUUCCUAUUUUAUUUGCAUGUCCUUUUUUGAGGCCAGGAAUGAUAUUCCUAUAUGGAAAAUUAUUUUUCUGCCUUACAAAAAUCUGAGAAAAUUUGGAGAUACUCACAGGACAUAUAUUUUCCAUACAUAAGAUUUUCAACCCCUAUUUAUAUUCAAAAUAUUUGAGAAAGGCUCUGAAAACUUAUUAUGUUUGUUUUGAUCUUUUGGAAUAUUUCCAUAGGAAAUAUUCCCAAUAAAAUCCUAAAAAAUUCUAGGAACCUUCCCUAGCUAUAUUUAGUGGCCAUAUCAAGUUUCACCUCAUUCCAAGGUGAUUUGGUCCACUAAAUAAUCCAAAACCCCUUUGUGUCCAGAUCCAAGUUGAAACAUCUCUACAUUGCAAAGUUUAUCCUAAUGGGUUGACACUUUGCAGGAGUGUUCAACACCCCAAAUGAGGAGUCUCUGCCGAAGAUGGGAUUUGCAGGAGGUAAUCUACCCACAUUACCUUUGUAAGGGACAUAUCUCCCAUUUGGGGGAUGAUUUCUAGUUUGCAUUGCCAAACUUAUUCAAUGAGGAUCAAAUUUGGUGAAGUAUCUUAUUUCUUCAUCAAAUUUAAUCUUGUUAACUCUCACCACCAGUGGUGAGGUGUUUCUAUCUCAAACACCUGUCGAACACCUUGUUCCAUAUUAGCAAAUUGGCCCCUACCCCACUCCACACUUUAGCUCGUCCCUCCAAACUCUUUGACCAAGCAGCCAGAACCACUCCCCAACAGCAGGAGAGUGGCCCCUCUUUGAAUCCAAGUAGAAGGCCCCAAAAUCCUCAGUCUAAAUUCUAGUCAAGCACUGGCAUCUCCUCUUUCCACUCCUCCCAUGGGUAACAGUAAGCCCCUCGGCUCCCAAACGGCUAGGCAUCUUUAGGCCAAGCCCUAGGAUAGCCCAGACAAGGCCACAGCGUCCUAGAGCGCGCAAGCAUGCCGUGGCAUGCCAAAACUGCGCUCUGGGCACGCUGAUGGGUGCACCCGAAGCUAGGUGGCCAGCCCCGGCCGGUCCGAGCCUCACCCUGUUGCCAUUUCGAGUCCCCGACUGUCGCUCUGUAUCUGGGAAGGCCCAUGGCCCCUCCUCCCUCGCACUGUCGACCGGAGCGACAUGUGCCCAUGCACAACAGGUCCAACCAGAAGACCAUGGCCAUGCGUGCACACCCUCCUCGCUCUCUUUCUCCCUCAUAGUGGGUCACACAUGUCCUAAACCAUGUCCGCAUACCACGGUUUCGACCCCGUGCCGUCACUACCUCUCCUGCGAGCUGUAGUGAAACCACCGGCGCCACCGGUUUGGUACACCGUCGGGAGCCUAUAAAUAGGGCCUCCCCUCGCUCCAGCACCUCCAUCCCACCUGUCCGGAGCCUGAAUUCCACCCUAGCCUCUGCAUUUGAGCACAACAAGCUCGUGUGGUCGAGAUCGACCGAGGCCCUGCCGCUUCGGAGCUCCGUCGCUCUCAGGCUACGGGCCAGCUCCGGUGCUCCUUUAACCUUCUCUGUGAUCCUAGCAACCUCCGGGAGCUUCCCCAUCACCUCCCCGAGCUAAUCCACGCCCGUAGCACUUAGUUCAUCGGCCUCCCGAAACUGCUCCGCCGUAGCCUCCUCGUCGCCGGUGAACCAGGGCCUCCCCGUCGACCCCUCGACCACCAGGAGGUGGGCGACGGUGAGAUGGACCCAUUUCUGCCUUUGGUUGGGCUCGAGGCCAUCGGUAGCCUCGUCGGCGUGCCUCCCCUUCUCUCUGUCCCGAGGUGGAAGAGGACCCCGACUGGUGGGGCUCACUUGUUGGUGGCUCCUGUCUCUUCCCCUCUCUCCUCUCUUCUGCUGACCGUAGGGGCUCGCGCGUCAGGUUUGAACCCGGCCACGCGCGCGCCUGGGCGGGCUGGCUGGCUAGCUCGGCCGGCCCAAGCCGCAGGCCAAGCUAGGCCUGAGCCCCAACCUCUUUUCUUUUUGUGCUAAAUCCGUUUUUGAAAGAUUUUUAUAAAAAUAAAUAUUCAAUAUAUUUUAAUUAUUCUUCCACCAUAAUUUUUGUAAAAAUGAGUAGCAUUUAACACAGCCUUUGUGUAAUUUUUGAGACAACUUUCUGGUUUAUAAUAAUUAAAAAGGGUUAGUUGGAAUAGUUUUGCUUCUGUUAAAAUGAUUUUAAAAAUAAUAUUUUCAGUAAAACCAGAGACAAAAAUUUUAAAAAUAACAAUAUGGAUUUAUCAGAAUUAAGCAACAUUUUUCAAAGUGUUUUUGUGAUCUGCUUUUGAGUGAGCUACUUAUUGCUUUUUAUUUACUACGACGAUAGAAACCACAUUUGACGAAGGAGUUGGACUUGUAGAUCUCGAAGACCCCGGAUACUUAGCUGAUCAAGGCAAGCAGCCCUUUGACCAUGUCUGAGCAUAUGUUAUAUUUCAUGCUAGCAAAGCAAAUAUUUAUGUUGCAUAUUAUCAUCAGUAUCGGUAAAUCAUUGAAGUGAUGUUACCGAUGGCUCCUCCGGAGCACUUGCAUUUUUAGCAUGAUCCUACCACCUAUAAGGGUCAUGCUAAUACCAUGUUGACAAGUAGAGCUAAGCAUAGUAGAAACAUGAGCAUCAUGAUGGUGUAAAUCAAAGGUUUAAGAAAACCCCGUCUGGUGCCACUAAUGCUCGAAGGUGAUGAUGAGUUAGGUGGCCACUUUUGGUGAAGUGGUGCACCGGGUAUUUUGGUGUGAGUGGUUUCGGAAAUGGGAUUAGAUUUAUGAUGUGUCGACCGUCCCAACCUUACAUGUUGGACCAUGUUACCCCUUUAUUGGAGGGGGCUUUGUUGAUUACUCUGGUCGGUGCUAGCAAAGAGCCACAUUACUAGUGGCAGGAGUGAUAUGUGGUCACUCUCGUGACGGGGUCGUGCCAGGUGGGGCGACUAUGCCAUUUUUAUGUGUUCGGGGCACACUGUUGGUCCCCGCAUGGAUGGUACUUUCCAGAGUCGGUGCUCGUAAGACGUACAUCAUGUGGGCUGGGUACGAAUCGAGUGGACAUAUUUGUCUAGUAUCAUCAGGGGAAAGGCAUUGAUCGGGCACUUACCUCGGGUAUGUUAUAUACCAUGAGUCGUGGAUGGCACGGAAGUUUCUCGGAUCUCAUGGGUACAAUGUACAACCUCUGCAGAGUGUAGAACUAUUCAAAUAGACAAGUCCAUGGUCAAGGAUAGGGUGGUGCUGCUUAAACUACAUCCAGUCAUUUCCGCAUAAACCAAGUGUGUGUGUGUUUAAUGAAGUUAUGUGAGAAAGAGUUGAUAUGACCAAGUUUGGUGACUUGGCAUAUCGGGUAAACCUGGAGUGUUCAGCCCCCAAUAGAUAUAUUGAUAUUUGUAACAUGUUCUUCUAAAUACCAUCUAGCUUAUGUUGCACAUCCAUGAUCAUGUUUAUUUACUGUUAAGUUGCUAUCCACCAAAACUGCAUAUUACUUGUUAUUCUACCAAUUGCAUCGUUCAUAUCAUGGGCUGUUUGCGAGUACAUUCAAAGUACUCAUUGGUUUGCCACUGGUUAUAUUAUUGACCAGACAUGGAAGAAACGGAGUUUGGAGAAGAGUACGUCAUCGGAGACGGCCCUGCGAUCUAGGACGCUUUCUAGUCAAAUUGCUUGUUGGUGUAGGCUGAUGGCAUGGGCACCCGCAUAGCCCCGAGAUUUCCGCUAUUAGUUGUUUCAGUGUGAUUUGGCCUUAUAGGCCCUACCUCGUGAACUUGACCUUAAUGGUCAUGUGUUGUAAUAUUUCGGUACUUGUAUGUAAGACUCUUAUUAUUCAGCAUCUGUGUGUUCGGUGAGCAUUGAUCUGUGGGAUCACUAGGCACGUUCAUUCGGCGAUCUCGACUCGUAAGUCGGGGUCCCCACAGAGCUGGUAUUACGGCCAUCCUGACUGUAGGAAGCCUUAGAUAGCAUGGACAAUAGCCGAGACGAUUAGUGCACUUAGCCCUUACACUUGAGAUUUCUUGCACCCACCAAAAAUUUCUAACCCUCUCCUACAACCUUGUGCCUUAGAUGCUUCUGGAGACAGGCUUUCCCCUACUUUUAGGAGAUAACCUCGAGAAGUGUCAAGUACGCCGCACGCCCAUUUUUCUCUACCACGAGCACUGGGCCAACGCUGACACCAAGGAAUAUCACAUGGACGUGAUAGUGAAGUCUAAGGACUCCCCAACUAGUUAGUUCUUCGAAGGACCACACAUGGAGAAUAUGAUGUUGGUAGUAGAGACAGCCGCAUGAGAGACGCUCGUGCGUCUCCACGACAUCCUUCCCGAGAUGCCUAACGAGCCAGCUACUCUUCACCUGCCUUUUAUGAAGGACGGGAUUGAUGGGAGUUGGACACUCAACCUAUCUUCAGAGGACGGGACACCAUUAAGGUUUCAGACCUACUUCAGCCUCUCCGCCGACACCUUGACUCACUUUUUGAUCAAGGAGUUGAUGGUGCUUCGCCAAGAGCUGCAGCAAGUCAAGGACCUACUUCGCCUGCAAAAUAUGAAGACCACCAAGGUCAAGAAGGAAGGAGCACCCGGAGGGCAGUCAGCCAUUGUCUUGCGAGGAGGAAUACCACCGCUCCAGGCCACUCCUAUUCAGAGUCGCCGUUUACCGCGGAAGAGUAGACUGAGCGCCUCACCACUUCACAGACUAAGAGACACCAUGAUGAACCACUUCCAUCUCCCACACCUCCGAAGGAGGAAAGUACCGAUGAGGAUGAAGACGAAGACCCUGAAGAGCCUGCCUACGAGACCGAAUAGUCCGCCGCUUAGAACUACGACUUAGGAAAUUAGGAGUCUUCCCCAAGCAUAGUUGAGUCCAUGUAUCGGUUCGUGUGAACCAUGAGUGUUGUGUAAACAGGUAUGAUGCAAGCCGCAUUUCUACCUUAGGCAUCUUGUAAGUGACUACAUCCCUUGUUUCAAUUUAAUGCAUUAGAUUUUCCAAAAACCUUUGUUUAAAACUAUCACACUAGCACAACACCAAACCCCCUUAUUUAGAGCAUCAUCCCUUUUGAUUCCCAUCCAAUUCGGCAUGUGGACCUGUCUACUCCCCUCACAGGAUGGUGAUUUCAACCCGCACCAGCACCUUCGGCAACCCUGGCUCUGCCUCCUCUGGCCAGCAGCAGGGAACCUGUCGUGGUUUUGUCACGGCAGAUGUCCUUGUGAAAGGACUUAUUGUUGGAGCCAUCGCACCUUGGUGGCGACUCAAAAGGGUUGAACAGGAGUGAGACAAAGAUUUCCCCACGUUCGGCCCCUCGUGAGGAGGUAAAAGCCUACGUCNNNNNNNNNNNNNNNNNNNNNNNNNNNNNNNNNNNNNNNNNNNNNNNNNNNNNNNNNNNNNNNNNNNNNNNNNNNNNNNNNNNNNNNNNNNNNNNNNNNNNNNNNNNNNNNNNNNNNNNNNNNNNNNNNNNNNNNNNNNNNNNNNNNNNNNNNNNNNNNNNNNNNNNNNNNNNNNNNNNNNNNNNNNNNNNNNNNNNNNNNNNNNNNNNNNNNNNNNNNNNNNNNNNNNNNNNNNNNNNNNNNNNNNNNNNNNNNNNNNNNNNNNNNNNNNNNNNNNNNNNNNNNNNNNNNNNNNNNNNNNNNNNUCUCUAAGUCGCAAUCUUUCCAAGGCUCGGAGAUCUUCUCUACUAUGGACUCCUCCGAAGGUCCUGAACCGCCAUACGACUUCCGGCCUCACUGGGCCAAGGCCUGAACCACUUGGAGAUGAGUCGCCAGCUUUUGUGACCCGACCCAACUAGGGCGGGUUACCCAACAGAUAAUAUCCCCAACAUUAGGCCCCAGAUUGACUUGAAUUUCUUUCACGCCAAUAUCUUCACUCAGUUAGGGGCGAUUCAUCUCACUCUUCUUAUGCAUCAUAUACUUAAACCUACAUCUGGUGCGGAAAAACUCAAGUCGCCAAACCACUUCUUGUUGGCGCCUUCUUAUCCCUUGUAUCUCGGAAGAGAUGCUGACGUAAUCUCCAACGGAUCCUUCGGUAUUGCUAUCCUGAAAAUUUUGGGGCGCCAUCAUGGCAAAUCUUUAUCUCUUGGCAGUUCCCGCUCGUGGCGCCUCGAUCCUAGCGCCCGACCUGAUAAAUAGGCGGGAGGAAAGGACAUGGCACAUUUCACCUACCCAUCUUGUCGCCCUUCUCUUCCUCGCCGUCGCACCGAGAGCCUCAUCCCCAACCGAGAGCUCCGCCGCCAACCGAAGACUUCAACGUCGUCCGAAAGCUUCGAUGCCGCCCGAAAACUUCGUCGCCGCCGAGCACCUCGUCGUGGCUGAGCAUUUCGUCGCCGUCGGGCACCUCGCCGGCGUCGAGCACCUCGUCGCCGCCCGAGAUCUUCAUCACCGUCCGAGAUCUUCGCCGCCGUCCAGAAGCUGCUGAACACGCAACGCUCGCGGCGAAUCCUUCUUCGGACGCCCCCAGCCGCAUUUUUUCCAGGUCUGCAUCCCGCAAUUGAAGGUAGAUCUAAGUUUCUUGAGGUUCAUGCCCACUGUAUUUUUGGAACAUCUCGAAUGGCUUCGUAAUUCCCGACUAGUUGGCGGUGAUGGUAGCGAACACAGCAAUGUUUUCCAUACCUUUAAUUGUUCAGCCUUGAUUUGCAUACAUAGGAAAGAUUUCACCAGAUCAACAGUAUUGUUCCCACCUUAGUCACAUGCCGUUUUAUCCAGACCUUUUCGCAUUCAUUUCUGUUUGUCCAGUAGAUCCAUAAUUUAUCGCUUGUCGAGUGAAACCUGUUUAUAAUUUCAUACUUCACCAUCUUGGCAAACACUACUGAAGCUCUGAAACACCUCUCCUUUAAGUAGUAAGAAUUUCAUAAGUCGCCCUGGCAUCCUGACCCAGACCUUUAUCGGCGGGUCAAAAAACUCCCUCAGCCAUCAGGCAAAUUGUUUGGCGAGUCAAAUGAACUUGUUUCACCAUUUUUAGUAGAUGCUUGGCAUGUGAAUUUACCCGUAAUUUCAUCCCCUUGGUAGCAUGGGCACUGUUUUCAAAAGUGAUUGGCUCCCAACCAAGGUUGACGAUGCUCUCCUUAACAACUAUGUAAAAAUGGGGAAUCUGGACCCUCAAGAAGUUAUCGGUUGGCGUACCAGGUUAAGAGAGGAAAUCCCCAAACCGAAGGAAGGGGUGAUAGUUCUUUUUGUUGAACACCUUGAACGGGGCUUUAAGCCGCCCGGAUCGUAAUUCCUCAAAGAUGCCAUGACCUUUAUGAAUGUCCGCCUCCAGUAUUUAGGGCCCAACUCGAUAAGCAAUUUAUGCCAGUUCCAAGUGUUCUGUGAGGCUUAUUUGCGGAUGGAACCCUCAGUUCCUUUAUUCUGGUACUUCUUCCAUUUGAAUCGCCAAACAUAAUUUUCCAAUGGCCCUAGCUUGAAGCUUGGAGGUGUCAAUGUUCAACGCUGUAGAGAUAGUUCAUUCCCGUCACUCGCCAUGCCAAGCCAUCCCAAAGGCUGGGGCGAGUCUUGGUUUUACUGCCGGGAGACUUCGCGUGAGGGCGAGAACAAGCUUCUCGGUUAUAGGGAAGAUCGCCUUCCAACAAAUUUCAAACUCCCAGAUAAGCUGACCGAAGAAGAGGAGUCAGACUUUAUCCCAGUGCUGUCCGAGUUAAGAUCUUUGACAAACAACGGCCUUACUAGGGUUGACUUGAUCCGCUGCUGGGUUGAAUGGUGUAUCCUCCCCUUAAGUCGCCGGGACGGAUUAAUGUGUGAUUUUGACGGCACCCUGGAUCACCCCCAGUGCUACUUCCACACGGCUUGACAGAGAGUGAUAUUGUAACCAUCAUCAAGAAGUUGACCGGUGAACCUGCGGCAAAAUGCGGCCAAAUAGGUCUUAAGCCGUUCUGCAAGAUCAACCCGACACCAAAUGUAAAUAACUUAACCCGCUACUUGUUUUUAUUCCUUCCGUAUUACUUGGGCUAAGUCCUUUUAUAAAUAAAAAAUACCGUUUCAGAAAGACGACAAAUUCUGGUCCAAGAGGCCAAAAAAGAUGGCCAUGAAGCAAGCUAGGCCGCCCCCAAUCAAGAAGUCCAAGAGCAAAGGCAAAGCCGCCAUCACUGAGCCAUCUGACGCCGAUGAGUCCCAAGUCGGCAACGUACUUUCAGAGGUAAAAAUCCAUCCUCUUUUAACUCGCCAUUCAUUGUUGACAGUUUUGUAUUUACGCCUCUGUAACUCUUAUGUAGAAUGAGGAAAAUGAAAGCCAGGAAGACUCCAUAGAGGUAAUUUCUGUUUCCUCCGACUCAUCUUCUCCUCCACCUAAGCCGGCCAAGCGAAUUUGUGGGAAAGUUCCCUUCUCACACCCAAAUGCUUGUUUGGAUCCAAAUUUCCUUCUCAAGAAAGCGCAACAUGCCUCAAAUCGGAAAACUUGGAGUCAUUCUGGAGACUUGGUGUCCGGGUUACCAACAAGAACCAAGAAAAGGCAAAAUGAGGUAUCUUAUAAUAACACUUCUUCAUGUCCUUUUGGAUCAUGUUUGUAACUUGCUCAUAUCUUUGAAGUAUUAUUUUUGCAGAGUUCUCCUCCCACAUCCGGUGACUCAGUGAUGUCGGCACUUCCACCGAUGAUCCGUGCCCCCGGGUAAGCCUUUGACAACAUUUACCUUUGUUCUGAUGCUGGUAAUAUCUGUUCCUUUAAACGCACCCCCUUCUCCUCUUAGGGCAUUGGCGAAGAAAGGGAAAACUGGCGGGUCAACUCCCAUUGCAGCUUCGGAGCCUAUUGAAAAAUCGGCGCCGAUCCAGGAUAACCCGGACCAAGACAAACCUGAAGAUCAAGUGGAUCUCCCAAGCUCGCCCAAGGAAACCAUGGAAACGCCUAACCCGCCAAGUCCAUUGAAAACAGCAGAAGACCCAGACGAUGUAGUCAUCACCGGUACUCGUUUCUCUAAGCCGGCCAGAACAGUUUUAUCGAAGCAUGUAUCAUCAUCAUCUCAACCUGCUUUUGAGCAUGAACUUUCCAAGGCUAAGCUCUACCAGUAUGAGAAUCUUGAAAUCAAAAAACUUUGCUCUAGCUUUGCAAGUCGCCUGGAGGCGAGUUAUGAGAUGGAAAAAAGUCCGCUUCUUAUGCUAAAGAACAAACAUGAGGUACGUCUUAUUGCAUACUGUAUUAUCCUCAUUAACCCCCAAGGGUCGGGUCAUCAGGAAAAAGAUGAGCCGGGUCUUGAUAGUAGAAGAAAAACAGUCGACCUGUAACCCCCAAGGGCCGGGUCAUCUGUAAAAAGAUGAGCCGGGUCCUGAUAAUAGAAGAAAAACUUUCGACCUAUAACCCCCAAGGGCCGGCUCAUCUGUAAAAAGAUGAGCCGGUUUUUGAUAAUAGAAGAAAAACUUUCAACCUGUAAACCCCAAGGGCCGGGUCAUCUGUAAAAAGAUGAGCCGGGACUUGAUACUGUAUAAUUUGUCUAAAAAAUUAUACAUUAGCCCCCAAGUGUCAGGGAUGUUGCUUGCAAUAAUUCAGAGACUUGCCCCUUGACUAUAUAUUUUGACAGGAAUCACUUACCCAAACUGAAUCAGCAUUUGGCGACUUGAAGAAAAAUUUAACCGAUCAGCAAGAUGCCGGGGUAAAAUCAAUAGACAAGUGUCAACUGAUCUUAUCUGAGAUGGAGAAGCUAAAAGUCGACUUAAAAAAGGCUCAAGCUGAUCAAGAUGCCUUGAUAAAGUGAGUAGAAAAAGCUGAAGCUAAAUUGGAUAAUGUGCAACAAGAGCUGGCCGGCUUAAAGCGACAUAUCUCCAACAUGGCGCAAGCCGUCUUUGGUAAAAACCAACCCUUGACCUUGCACUUUGUAAAUAAAUAGCUUGUAGAAAUUGCUGACCAUCAUUACCUCUUACACAGGUCCGAGAGAUGCCAAUCUUCAGAAUGAUUGUGUCCUGAUGCUGAAGGUGAUUUAUACGUUGACGGAGCAACUGUAUACCGGAAGUGUGCUGAUCGUGAAAGCAGUGAUGGGUGCCAAGGAACCCAUAACAUUAAUAAAGAAGAUGCUUGGCUGCUUAUCUACUCUUCCUCCUCAACUUGGUGAGCUAACUCGGUCUGCCGCCCGAAAAGGAGCACUGACUUCGCUGAGUCAGUGUUUGGCGUAUGCGCCAGAAAUAAACUCGGAAGAAGUAGCGGUGGGCUUCCCCCACCUCAAGGAUGACGGGUCAGAAUUUGCUGAAGAAGAUUACCAGCGUGUUGUCAAAGAAUCCCGUUUGGCGGCUUCUCAGCUUGCUGCAAGCCUGGAUUUAUCAAAAUACCAAGCCGCCUAUGACAACAAGAACAAGAAAGUUAACCCGCCAACCUUUGUAACGACCAGCUUAACUCCGCGUCGACCCAAGAAUCCUUUUGACUUGGAGGUGGAUCUCUCAUCAGUGUUGAACGAUGAAGAUGAGUUCGCCGCGUUAUCCAAGUGUAACUAGGUACUGGGCGACUUGCAAAUUGAAGUCGGCCAGAGCUCGCAGCAGGCUGAUCCGAGGACAUCAGCAGAAUAAAACUUCUUAGAUUUGGCCAUAAGAGCCAUGUAAUAAGUCUUUUUAGAGAUCAAACUGCUUCUGUGAUAUCUUGAAAAACCCUUAUGUCGCCCUUAAGGUGCUUUAAAAUGCUUGACCCGUCGUCGAGGCUUUUUUAUGAUGCUUGACCCGCCAUGGCUAGAAUGAUUUUGAUCAUCAACCUGUUAGGCUUGAAAACACAUAUAUCAAACUAUCUCGGUGAGUAAUGGAUGAUAAUAAACAAUAAUCGACCCAAGAUAUUUGAGGCGAGUCAGAAAAAAGUCUGAAAGACCUUGUGGCAGUGCCACGAAGGUAAAAAAUAGCAAUUUCAUCGGCUCAUCAGGUCGCGACAGGAUAGGACGAGUUAAAUAAACUCAAGUGCUACCCGAGGGAGACUUUUGUAUCAAAAUCUCAAGUAUUUAGACCGGCUGAUCAGGCACGAGUCAAGCUUUAGUGAAGCGGGUUCAAUGAACCAAUGGUUUCUCUAUUUUCCAUGUGAGGCACUAGCCGGUACCAGACAUGUUUUAACCAAGGUGAGUUCGGGGUCCAUGAGCGGAAUAACUCGCUAAGAGAUCACGGGUCCAUAUGGCGAUUCGGCCAACACACUGUCCAGUAUAACCAUUUGUAAUGUGGUAAUUUUUCGCAGGCCAAAUGGGUAGUAAGGUUGAUCUCAGUGAGAGGAAGCCGCCAAGUGACCUAUGAUUAAGGGAAAGACCGUCAUAGGAUUGUAGAAGCGUAUACGCCAUUACCACAAAAUGACUUGAGAACAAACCGCCCUCAAGUAAGUCGGCCUAAUCCACAGAAUCAUAUAAGGCGCCCAUGUUUGAAUCGCGCGCUUGUGGAGACUUCGAUCCUCUUUGGCUUAUCGAUACCCAGUUUUGUAAUAAGCGCAUCAUGGCGACUUAAGCUCUUUGGUAUGGAUGGCGUCCAUGUUUGGUCUACUUGUUGAUGAAUAAAAAUAAAGAUCCAUACCUUUGAAUAAGAUGAAUUAUCAGGAAAGCCCCCAAGCUGGGAGGCGUUAAUUUUAUUGCUUUAUAAGAAAUGAAAAACUUACAAAAUGUAGAGCCAAUAACUCAAGUGUAAUAAGGCCGCAAGUGGGCUAUGUUCCAGGGGCGAGUUGACUCAGCCUCCGUGGUUGGCCAAUCAGACCGUAGAUCCACCAAAUAGUAGGACCCGUUGCGAAGGUUUUUGCUGACGACGAAUGGUCCAUCCCAUGGUGGUGAUAACUUAUGCAUGCUAGUACAAUCUUGUAUCAGUCGAAGCACUAAGUUGCCCUCCUGAAAAGUUCGGCUCUUGACCCGGCGACUGUGAUAACGCCGUAAGUCCUGCUGAUAAAUGGCCGAUCGGGCUGUAGCCAAAUCGCGUGCUUCCUCCAAGCCGUCCAAAGAAUCUUGACGCGCCAACUCGUUGUCCUGUUCCACAUAAGCGGCGACUCUGGGCGAGUCAUGCCUAAUGUCAGUGGGAAGAACGACUUCUGCUCCAUAUACCAGAAAGCAAGGAGUAAAACCCGUAGAACGGUUCGGGGUGGUCCGGAUGCUCCAUAGUACUGAAGGCAACUCCUCAACCCAACACCCCGGGGUACGUUCCAAGGGAACCAUGAGUCGGGGAUUGAUUCCUCGCAAAACUUCCUGAUUCUCCCGCUCUGCUUGUCCAUUAGAUUGCGGGUGAGCUACCGCAGAAACAUCAAGCCAGAUGUGCUCACGAUGGAAAAACUCCUGCAUCGCUCCAUGAGACAGAUUAGUGCCAUUAUCAGUAAUAAUGCUGUGUGGAUGUCCGAACCGGAAGAUCAAUUUUUUCAAGAAUUUGACUGUUGUCUCCACAUCGCAAGCUCCAACAGGUUCUGCUUCAACCCACUUGGUGAACUUAUCAACCGCCACCAGCAGAAGAGUUUUCUUGUUGGAUGACAUCUUAAAGGGGCCAACCAUGUCUAACCCUCAGACCGCGAAAGGCCAAGUGAUGGGUAUCAUUCUUAGUUCUUGAGCCGGCACAUGGGCCUGUCGUCCAUAACGCUCGCAUCCAUCACAUCGACGAACUAUCUCCUCUGUGUCUGCAUGGGCCGUCAGCCAGAAGAAACCAUGACAGAACGCUUUUGAAACCAAGGAGCGUGACCCGGCGUGAUGCCCACAAUCUCCGGAAUGAAUGUCAUUUAGAAUUAUGCACCCUUCUUCGGAGGAAACACAUCUUUGGAAAACCCCGGAAGUGCUUCGUUUAUAUAAUUCGCCAUUGAUGAUCACCAUGGAUUUGCUUCCGAACGAUUUGGCGAGCCAAUACUUCAUCCGUAGGUAACUCACCUCGGGCGAGAUAGGCCAGAUAUGGAAGAAACCAAUCCGGCGUAGCAUGGAGAGCCGCCACGAACUGAGACUCAGGGUCAGGUAUUGCCAACUCCUCCUCCGAGGGCAACCUUACGGAAGGAUUAUGCAGAGUAUCCAGAAAAACAUUGGGAGGAACCGGCUUACGCUGGGAACCGAGACGUGAAAGGGCAUCAGCUGCUUCGUUAAGGCGCCGGUCGAUGUGAUCGACCUGAUAGCCAUGGAAGUGACCCGCCACAUCAGACACAACCCUCCUGUAAGCCGGCAUCAAGGGGUCCCGAGAAUCCCAAGUACCUGAAACUUGCUGAGCCACCUAAUCAGAAUCGCCAAACCAUCUGACCCGCGUAAGGUUCAUCUCCUUGGCGAGUCGCAAGCCAUGAAGUAAAGCUUCGUAUUCCGCAGUGUUGUUGGUACAUGGAAACAUGAGUCGGAGGACAUAGCAGAAUUUGUCUCCUUGACGCAAUAUCAGCACCACGCCAUCCCCCGAGCCUUCCAACUGUCUAGAUCCGUCAAAAUAAAUAGUCGAGUAUGUAAGGUCAGGCCUGUCUUUCGAAAUCUGUAACUCGGUCCAAUCAUUGAUGAAAUCAACCAAGGCCUGAGACUUGAUAGCCGUGCGAGGGGUGUAUCGCACGUGGUGCGGCCCAAGUUCGAUCGCCCACUUGGCGAUUCGCCCUGUCGCCUCCCGAUUCUGGAUGAUGUCCCCGAGGGGAACGGAGCUAACCACCGUGAUGGGAUGCUCUUGGAAAUAAUGUUUGAGCUUCCGACUCGCCAUAAAGACCCCAUAAACUAACUUCUGCCAGUGUGGGUACCGCUGCUUGGAAAGAGUUAGCACCUCACUGAUGAAAUACACCGGGCGCUGCACAGGAUAUUCCUUCCCUUCCUCCUUCCUUUCGACGACCAACACCACACUCACCGCUUUGGAGUUUGCCGCAAUAUAUAAAGCAUGGGCUCUUUCUCAGUCGGGGCGGCCAAGACCGGUGGGUUGACCAGCUGCCGUUUUAAGGCUUCGAAAGCUUCAUUGGCUUCGUCUGUCCAAACAAAAUGGUCAGAUUUCCUAAGAAAUUGAUAAAGGGGAAUAGAUUUUUCACUCAGACGGCUUAUGAAGCGACUUAAGGCCGCAAUACGACCCGCCAUCCGUUGGACUUGAUUAAUAUUCGCUGGUUUCCCAAGGGAAGUAACCGCCUCGAUCUUGUCCGGGUAAGCUUCAAAGCCGCGCUCAGACACCAAAAAACCCAACAAUUUCCCUGCAGGAACACCAAAGACACACUUGGUGGGAUUAAGCUUCAUCUGAUAUUCCCGCAGAUUAUCAAAAGUUUCUUUGAGAUCUCCGAGUAGCAUUUCCUUCCUGGGAGUUUUAACCACAAUGUCAUCAACAUAGGCAUGGACGUUGCGUCCGAUUUGGCCACGGAGGCAAUUUUGGAUGCAGCGCUGAUAAGUCGCCCCUGCACUCUUGAGUCCGAAUGGCAUGGAUACAUAGCAAAAAGCCCCGAAGGUGGUUAUAAAAGCUGUUUUCUCCUGAUCUUCCACGGCCAUCUUGAUUUGGUGAUAUCCGGAAUAAGCGUCUAGGAAGCACAAACGUUCACAUCCCGCCACUGAAUCAAUAAUUUGAUCGAUGCGGGGAAGGGCAAAGGGAUCCUUCGGACAAGCUCUGUUAAGAUCCGUGUAAUCAAUGCACAUACGGAAGGUACCGUUCUUCUUGAGCACCACGACCGGGUUAGCCAACCAUUUGGGGUGGAAGACCUCUACGAUGAAUCCGACGGCCAAGAGACGGGCAACUUCCUCCCAGAUUGCCUUGCGUCGUUCCUCAUUGAACCUACGAAGAUAUUGCUGAAUCGGUUUUGCUUUUGGGUCAACAUUAAGAUGGUGCUCAACGAAUUCUCUUGGCACACCAGGCAUGUCGGAAGGUUUCCAUGCGAAGAUGUCCCGAUUCUCACGGAUGAAUUUCAUGAGCGCGCUUUCCUAUUUGGGGUCCAGACCCGUCCCAAUAGUGAACUGCCUAGUUGAGUCGCCAGGUACGAAAUCCACUGUCUUAGUGUCAUCUGUUCGUUUGAACUUGAGGGGCGGCUCAGCGUCUGUCGUUGGCUUCUUUAAAGGUGACAUAUCAGCCGGAUCAACAUUGGCCUGGUGAUAUUUAAGCUCUUCCGCAGCACGGGCGACUUCUGCAUAAGCCGCAUCCCUUCUCCACACUCUCUUGCAAUCCUCCUAUCACGAUCAACUGUGAUGGGUCCUUUAGGACAAGGCAUCUUGAGUUUAAGGUAAACAUAGCAGGGGCGAGCCAUGAACCGGGCGUAAGCCGGUCGCUCGAACAACGCAUGAUAUGGGCUCUUUAACUUGACCACCUCAAACGUAAGCGACUCACUCCUGUAAUUAGACGCUGUUCCAAACGCAACUGUGAGCCUAACUCGGCCUAUGGGAUACGCCAAUUUACCUGGGACAAUCUCGUGGAAUACCGUGGUUGAGGGCAUCAAAUCUUUCUCCAAUAGGUUCAUCCUUUGGAAGGUGUCGAAGUAUAAUAUGUUGAUGUUGCUGCCACCAUCCAUCAGUACCUUCGACAAAGUAUAUCCUCCAACUUGGGGAGCCACGACCAACGCUAAGUCACCUGGAUUGUCAAUUCUUGGCGGGUGAUCCUCCAUACUCCAUGAUAUAGUCUGCUCGGACCAGUGGAGGUAUCUAGGGAGUGACGGCUCAGAUACACUGUACGCUCGGUGACUCACCUUUUUAUCACGCCUGCAGGCAUUGGUGGUGAAAACGUGGUACUGCCCAUUGCUUAACUGCUUGGGAUUGUAGCGGAAGCCGUCAUUGUUGUCCUGCACCUGCGAAGCCCCCUGUGGGGGUGGUUGUUGAAAAACUCCAGGCGGGUUAUACCGUUGUUGGUGAUGCACCGGAUACUGGCCACUGCUUGGCUGCGAGCCACCCUAAGCCCCAGGUUCGGGGAAGCCGCCGAAGGGGUUCUCGCGUUGAUUAGGUGCGCCAAACUGUUCCUGCCGUUGGUCCGGGUCGCCGCCUUGCCCUUUUUGAUCGCCUCCGCCCGAAACUCCCGCAUCUCGUAACAGUCCUCCCAGGAAUGAGUCACCGGUCCGUCUGACAUGGCGUGGUGCGGGAAGGGGCCCUUGAGUAACUCAUUAUAGUUGCGCGGCUUUUUGCCACUGUCACCGCUAUUCUUUUUCUGGCGCUGGUUGCCAUUAUUGGUGUUGGUGUUGGCGACUAAGUCCGAAGACUCUUCGUGCUGCCUUCUCUUGCUAUUCGCUCCAUGAUUAUGGUGGGCGCGUCCCUGGAACCGGGUAUGAUUUUCGGAUGACUCGCCUUUCCUUGGCGAAUUGGAUUUACCACCAUCCUCUUCGGGAUCUUUGGUGUCGUCCACCUCAGCGUACCUAGUGAGGGUGUCCAUUAGCUCCCCCAUGUCUUGGACCUCUCGCUUGAGUCGCCCCAACUUCUGCACCAAGGGCUCGUAAUGGCAAUUCUGCUCAAGGAUCAGCACAGCCUGAGCCGCCGAAAUACCGUCCGACGAGUGAAUGAUUUCCGCGACCCACCGCGACCAGUGCUGGGCCGACUCAUCCGGGUGUUGAACGCAGUGCUGUAAAUCGACUAUUGUCAUCUGGAGUUUGCAGGUUCCUCGGAAGUUUUUGACGAAACGCUCUUUUAAUUCAGCCCAAGUCUGGAUGGAGUUGGGGUGUAGGUUCUUUAACCAAGUACGCGCCGUCCCUUUGAGAAUCAUUGUGAAGUAUCUAGCGCAGACUGCUUCGCCUACAUCCAGCAUGUCCAUGGCGAUUUCAUAACCCUUGACCCACGACGCCGGCUCAAGGUCCGGAGUGUAGUUAGGCACCUUUCUUGGCCCUUUAAAAUCCUUGGGCAUUCGCUUGUUGUGAAGGGCGGGGGCCAACCACGGCACCCCCACUUGUCUGCCGCUUCCAACAAGAGGCGCUGGGGCGACUUGGGUGUCCUGGUGAUCCCGACCUGGCGCGUCUCGAUGGUCAGGCGAGUUGACCUGGGGAAAGGGUCGCGGUCCGCUGGUUAUAGCCGGCUGGUCCUCUGGCCGACUCCUGGUGCGGCAUGCCUGGGGAGUGGAGUGCAGCCGAUCUAGGCUGUGUGAGAACUGGCCGUUUUGAACCACCGCCGUCUUCAACAUCUCAAUGGCGUUCCUUGCCUCUAUCUUGGCUAGAGUGUUGCCGUGAAUCAGAAGGGAUUCUAAAUGGCGAGUUGCGGCAAGGACGUUGUCCACCGGGUUGGAAAAGUGACCUUGAGGUGUCUGGAAUCGGGGAACGCGAUCCACAGCUGGCUGAAACGGCGCGUUCGGUGGCUGGCCCGGCCCUCCCCCCGGGGCGGCUCCUGCCCCGGGAGUUCGUGGAGUGUCGAACAGGCGGGUCAGGUUGAGAUCAGGGGGCAAACGACCCUGAUGCCUCCGCUAAUGGACGGCGUCAGAUGCGCGCUGAUGCCUUUCGAGCCGCCAGUUUUCGGUAUUCAAGCGAGCUACCUCAGCGGUAAUUUGAGCCUGCCAGGUCUCGAUCCUGGCGGCCUCCACCUCAGCGACGUGCUGAGCCUUCGCCACCCCCUCUCUUAGCUUCGCCAGUUCCUGUUUACCGCCUCCUGGUUUUCCGAUGUUAUGGGGGUCGCCAUGAGCCUUGUUAUUUCCGCUGCUAACUCCACCAAGAUCGUGGCCGGGCUUCUAGACGUUUCGCGAGUUCCAUCUCCGCCUGCCGGGUUUGGCGAGGGUUGAGUCGCCCCUACCAUGUAAACGGCGAUCUGACGGUGAGUCCGGUCAAGAACUUCGGGUCCAUGGCCAGUGACAGGCCCCCAAGGCAAGCCCCGUGUAGAGACUGGAUUGAAUCUGAAUCGCCCAUGGACGAUUCGUCAUCAGUGUUGACCGGCGUGGUUUCCUGGGUCGCUGAGUGUUCUGGUUCCUCAGAUCCCUGCGUGAACCCAACAAAGACCGGACGGGUUAGGUUUGGCGUCACGACAGGGCGGACGUACCUGGCCGGCUCGAAGAUGUCGGAGGAGGUGUCCGGCUUAGGCAUGGGCGAUCCAAUCAUGCCGACGAAGACGCUGAUCUUGCCGAAGGGGACCGUGUAACCGGAUUCGAUCGAAUCGGCCUCGGGCCCCCAUAGCAAGUUGUUGAUGUAGUACUUCCCGCGGUGGCUCCGAGUCAUGAGCCCCGCUGCGUAGCUCCCAGACCCUGGUAGGGCUGUCUUUGAGAACUCAAGUCCACCGUCCGCAGGCCCCACGGUGGGCGCCAACUGUCGUGGUUUUGUCACGGCAGAUGUCCUCGUGAAAGGACUUAGUGUUGGAAUCAUCGCACCUUGGUGGCGACUCAAAGGGGUUGAACGGGAGUGAGACAGAUAUUUACCCAGGUUAGGCCCCUCGUGAGGAGGUAAAAGCCUANNNNNNNNNNNNNNNNNNNNNNNNNNNNNNNNNNNNNNNNNNNNNNNNNNNNNNNNNNNNNNNNNNNNNNNNNNNNNNNNNNNNNNNNNNNNNNNNNNNNNNNNNNNNNNNNNNNNNNNNNNNNNNNNNNNNNNNNNNNNNNNNNNNNNNNNNNNNNNNNNNNNNNNNNNNNNNNNNNNNNNNNNNNNNNNNNNNNNNNNNNNNNNNNNNNNNNNNNNNNNNNNNNNNNNNNNNNNNNNNNNNNNNNNNNNNNNNNNNNNNNNNNNNNNNNNNNNNNNNNNNNNNNNNNNCUUCCGAUCUCUAAGUCGCCAUCUUUCCAAGACUCAGAGAUCUUCUCUACUAUGGACUCCUCCCGAAGGUCCUCAACCGCCAUACGACUUCCGGCCUCACUGGGCCAAGGCCUGAACCACUUGGAGAUGAGUCGCCAGCUUUGGUGACCCGGCCCAACUAGGGCGGGUUACCCAACAGAUAAUAUCCCCAACAAAACCGGUGGAAAUUCUCAACCUGGCGAUCACCACGAGCAGCAGCAAGGCCAUAUUCCUCCGCCACUGCUUCCUCCAGAGAGCCUGACUGUGGCUUAGUUCCUCCAAGCUCUCCGAGAGGAACGUCAGGCCAACAAUGCCGCCAUCCACCAGCUGGCUCAAGUCUUGGUGAAUAAUCCGCCGCAAAACGGGAAUGGCAACGGUCGCUCUACUCUCUCUGAGUUCAUGCGAAUUACGCCUUCUAUAUUCACGGAGAUAACUGAACCGUUGGAUGCCGAUGACUGUAUCCAUACUAUCGAAGACCUCCUCGCAUUGGUCAAGUGCACCGAUGAUCGCGAGAAAGUCCUUUAUGCUUCUCACUAUCUCGGAGGCACAGCCAGAGCUUGGUGGGAGGGGUUCCAGAUCAUGUGAGAAGGGCAAGCUAUCACUUGGGAAGUAUUCAAGGAAGGAUUCCGCGCUGCUCACAUUCCUCCCGGAAUGAUGACCAUUAAGAAGCGGGAAUUCCAAGCUUUAAGGCAAGGCAGUGGAACCGUCAAGGACUAUCUGCAGAAGUUUAACCUCCUGUCGAGGUAUGCACCAGAGGAUGUCAACACUCAGGAUGCAAAAGUGGAAUGCUUUAUGGAAGGACUGCAACAGUCACUCGAGUAUCAACUGGUUGUUUGUGAAUGUCGGACCUUCUGGGAUGUGGUUAACAAGGCCCUCAUGUUGGUGGAUAAGCGUCGUGCAAUGGACGACACCCGUAAGCGCAAGCUGAUGGGUAGUGGAGGACCUAGUAACCCGAAACCACACCCAUGGCAGUCAGCUCCAGCAAGACCGAGUUAUCAACAACAACAGUACAAGGCACGAACAUUUCGCCAGAACUACCAACCUCAACAGCAAGUCAACACCAAGCCAACAUUCAACCCAUUGAAUAAUAGUAGAGGCAAUACCAACAUCCCGGGAGAGGUUACCUGUUUUGGAUGUGGACAAGCUGGGCACUAUUCCAGGCAGUGCCCCAACUAGAAGCCCCGAUGCCCCGCGCCGCAAUGCGCCCAAUCAAGGGCAUGGUCAAGGAGCACCAGGAAGGAACCAAUGUUCCAACAAUCAGAAGUACUACAGCAAGGGACGUAUUAAUCAGAUCUCCGUAGAAGAAGCACAGGAAGACGCGAACUUCAUUCUGGGGACGUUCCUCGUCAACUCCACCCGUGCAACAAUAUUGUUUGAUUGUGGUGCUUCGCAUUCUUUUGUUACACAGAAGUUUGCGGAAAAAUCUGGUUUGAAGCCUACCCUGCUUAAUGGGCAAAUGGCAGUACAUACCCCGGGAGCAGUGCUAAGGACCAACCUAGGAUGUAGAGGAGUCGGAAUCAAUAAUAAUGGAAUAAGCUUCUCAGCCGAUCUCAUCGUCAUUAAGUGGCAAGGCUUAGAAGUGAUCCUUGGGAUAUAUUGGUUGGCCAAACACCAGAGAAUCUUAGACUUUGCCAACAGGACUAUUACCAUGACAAGCGACCAAGGGGUCCAAGUCAAAUAUGUCCCUGGGCCUACAUCCACUCAAGUCCCGCAGAUAAAUUGCCUAUCGGGGGAAGAGCUGGAUCGAGUGCCGAUAGUGUGUGAAUACCCGGACGUCUUUCCUGAUGAACUGCCAGGGAUGCCUCCUGACCGUGACAUCGAGUUCAUCAUUGAGCUCAUACCCAGGUCAAGGCGUAUCUAUAAGAUGCCUUAUAGGAUGGGAUCCGAAGAGCUAGCAGAGCUGAAGAAGCAGCAGGAUGAGCAACUCAGGAAAGGGUUCACUCGUCAGAGUGCAUCACCUUAAGGAUCAGCAGUUGUGUUUGUGUCUAAGAAGGAUGUGACUAUCAGACUCUGCGUCGAUUACCGUUCUCUCUGUUAGGAAUAAUUAAUAUGUAUUAAUUAUGUAAUUAAUCAAUACUAUGUCGGUUGUUCUUUUGGCAACCACCCCUUUUGUAAACCGCCAUGUACUGGGUAUAAAUAUCCCCAAUUUCUAUCAAUGUGAGAUUACUGUUCAUUCUAUCUUUCUCCUUCUCUUCUUUUACUCUUCACACGUUAUCAACACACUCUUCAUCUGAGCGAUUUCGAGAUCGAGAAGAACCCAAGGGAAAAAAACAGGCAAAAGGUAAGAAGAAAACCAGUCGCCCAUGGCGCUGGAUGUGGCCUUCAUGCCGCAGGACGCAUCCACGCUAGCCUCCACCGAGAGCAGAUGCCACUCCGGCGAUCUGCAAUUGCCCCUAAAGAUGGCGGGAGAAGUUGGUUGCUGAAGGUUCGGACACCAGACGAUUCACGACAAAGAUGAGAAUCGAUCAAUCGUGAACUACAAACAAAAGACCAGAAGAAGAAAAAGGCCCAGCCUGGGAGGAUCAUACCUUCGUCGUCCUCGUCAUUGCACGCGCGUGGAUGCGAACUCCGGCAUAGGCAUGACUUUCGGUUUUCUGCCUCAAGUGAAGAAACGGGUGGCGGCAUCCAGUUACUACUCCUUCUAGUCACCCUUCCUCAAGAACGGUGGGUGGUGGCCCCCACCUCGGCCCCGUCGCGGUGAACGACGACUCCAAGCAGGAUGGCGCGUGGCGCACAUCUUACAGCCCCUCCACCCUUGCCCCUCCCAGCAAGGAGACUACGCCACUACUGCAAGGAGAAUCCUCCAGCGUCUCACAGAGGCGGCUGUACCAGUGUAGAAAAGGAGCAAUCAAGGAAUCAAUUGAUUCCAG